UUUGACACUUGAACUCUUUUAUUUGCAGGUAGACUGCCCUUUCCCUCCAUCAGACAAAAUUGGCAUAAACUCUGUCCAAAGGGAAAAUGAGGAAAUAGUGCCAAUGAAGGCGAUGAAGAUGGCAUGGGUGCCUUAUGUUCCCCUUGAGGACCGGCUUAGCAGGAUUGACAGUUUGAAAACAAAAAUAUUCACUCUCGGAUGCACGCAGCGGAGGUCUGCACUGAAGCAUCUCAAA